UGGAGUUUCGUAAAUGAGCCCAGGAUAUGGGUAGGCUUUCUAUCUAUUCUCUUCUAUUCUCUUUUUGUUAUUAUAACCUGCUUUGCCUACCUCUCUUGUUUAUUUCAUAAUUAUAGCAUCUUAAUAUUCAUUGAUUAUACACAUACACCAGCAAUCCAAGAAAGUAUUAAAGGACACUAUAGCAGAAAUGCAAGUCUCAGCUUAAAGCAGUGAUUGAGCACCUGGUAGGAAGGCAAGGCCAACUUAAAGGAGCUUAGGUCCAGGUAAUGUACAUGAAUGACCAGAAGGGCUGGAGCCAGGAUCCACCCCUUCCCAAACCUCAUUUAAGGGUUGGCAGUGGAGGUGAGUAUAUCUUGCAGAGAUCCCUGCAUACCUGGGUCUUCUGAAGACACAACGCCGAUAGGUAGCACACCUCACCUAAAACCUGUUUCCUCAGAAGUCUGGUUCUGUAAGUCUUGCUUUAGUGUAAAGGACAGAUGAAAAGCUGAGAAUUAAUUGGAACUUGAAAAGAACCCUUCUCAUGGGUUGAGAAUGUGCUGGAAGAAGAGAGCUCCACCCAGUUAUGCUUUCCCUUUGUAUACUGCUGAAAUAACCUAGGUGUAAACUCGACCGAGAACACCAAUGUCCAUAAAGAUAGUCUUCAUACUCAAGCAGUUAUAGAGAUCUCUGCUAGUAGAUGUAAAAGUUAGUGUGUGUCAUAUGGAUUAUGCAUGAACUUGGGAAAUUGACUGGAAACAGCCUGAGAGCAAGUCUUUUUUUUAAUUGUAUUUUUUUUUAGGGGGGAGGUGGAAGAGGCAGUUAAAUGGAAGGAAGGAAGUUGUUGGUUUUUUCUUAAAUUAUUAUGACUGAUUAUAACUGUACUGUGAAAAUUAGUACUAUGCAGGCUGGGGUGAAGUUAGAUGCGUGUUCUGAGAGGUGUUGCUUUUCUCUAUGCUGUGUUUGUGGUAAAUCUGUGUGAUGUCUAUGAGUCUCUGUGGCUUUUUGUUUGCUUUUUUAGCACAAAACAAGCGUAAGGCUACAUGGUAUUGGCUUUGGCAAAUGCACAGGAGACUAAAAUCUGGAACUGGGAGUUACUUUGUGCUCCAUAAAAGUCCAUCUACUAACCUGUUUUCAUUUUCUGUCUUAAAAUCCUGUGUUUCUCUUUGAUCAAUGCACUAAAAACCAGUGAAUCCAGAUGCUAUAGAUCCCUUGGAUCCUCCACAAGGCUUGGUCUUAAAUAAUGCUUUUGCAGUAUGGACAAGUAGUAGAACAUGGUGACCUACAUGGCACUGGCUACAGGGUUUUUUUCUUUGCGAGUGUGAAUCUAAUCCAACAAAGGCAGCUGUCUUUAAACCAAUAGAGCUACAGAAAUGCUAACAUCAUAGAACUGCAGCUAUUCUUCAGGAUAGCUGAUAGUAAAAUGUGAAUGUUUCUAAUAGAUUACUGUGCUCUCAUCAAAACUCUUUUAUCCAAGUAUGUUUUUCUGUAAAUCUUUUCUAAUGCCUUGUAUGUUGCCACUCUGUUAGUUCCAUGAGCUGUUGGAAGGUAAAAGCCAUGCAACUGAAUGCUCUUUUGAAUGGAAUAUGCAAUCCUACCAAAAGAGGCUAGUUCAUACUGUAUGAUUGUCAUCACUGUAUGCUAAUAACCUCAUUAGAGUAUACCACAUAAUGCAGUGCAAACAGUAAUGGGAAAAUGUACAGCUCUUGUUGAGUUUAAAACCUCUGCAUUUUUUGCAGUGCUUUUGUGCCAAGCCAAGAGUUGAAUUUACAGGGAGUCCCAAGAGUGUCACCCUUCAGUCAUCCUCUGUAAUGCUUCCCUUUUACUUUGUUGAAGUCCAGCAGCGCUGUUAACUGAUGGUUUUCUUCCAAGUUUUGUGGAUCAGAUGCUGCUUUCUCAGCCAAUAUAGCGAGAUUAUGUAGAUUAUCUAAGUUAUCCAGAGUUGUCUCAAUAAUGGAGACAGUGACUUGGAUAUUUCAAGCCCUUUCUGUCCCACUGCACUUGAUAGUCUGCUUUGUUAAUUAAAUUCUUUUUCUUGGGAUUCCCUGUAGAAUAUAUUGAGUGAAAUUCUGGCCCCACUGAAGAUAGUGGCAGAACUCCCAUUGUUUUCAAUGGUCUGAGACUUCGCUCAUAAAAUCAAGAAGGAAAUGAUUCAGGCCAACAGCCUACAGAAUACCAAUAGUCAUUUUCAAUGUACUGCUCUGACUGAGGCUUAUGUUUUGGAGAAGUAUAAUCCCAAUAGUAGGUGACAGUACAUCUCUCCAAGGAACAAGGGGAAGUGUUGGUGAGACUUAAAGGUUGUGACAGGCCUGCUGUCCUAAUUAAUAACUUGUCAGUAUUGCAAUGGAUUUAGGCUAUUUCAUCAGUACAGGACUCCAAACUUGGGGAUACACAAAGGCGGUGCUAAUUGAAGAUAUACAUUAGCUUAAAAUAUCACAGAGUUGGACAGGAUUGAAGCAUCUAGCAUAAACUUCUGAUCUCCAGUGCUACUUCGUUAACUUCAGUGGUGGUUGCUAAAAAUAUCCUGUAGCACAAAGUCAUGGACUCAUAAUGGUUUGUGUUGGACAGAACCCUAAAGACAACCAAGCUCCAGCCCCCUGCUGUGAACAGGAAUGCCUCCUACAAGACCGGGUUGCUCAAACCCAAUCCAUAGGGGGAUGGACUGUCAAGCAGUACCUCUCUAAGAUGCAUCACAUCUGCCAUCUGGGUGGUAGCUAGAGUUCUCUGGGGGGAGCCACACAAACCACACCAUUCCAGCAGCCAGCCAGAAGGGGGGGAUGACAGCUAGGUUGCUAAAAGAGCCAAAUGGCUCCUGUAACUCUGCUAAGCACAUCUAGCAAGGAUAGCAACUGAUGUGGAUAGAAGUCUAGCUGUGUUUUUUUUUUUUUCCCCUGGCUUUUUCUAAGUAUAAAAGUGCAAAUAAAGAGUGAUGACACUUAAAAGCUUUGGGUGGACACAAGGAAACUAGCUUUGGGAGAACUGGAAGUCCUGCCUGCCCCCAAGAGAAUCUAAGGAAGGUGACUGGAUGGAAGAGCUUGUGGUGUAUGUUGGACAAAUAGUGCUGUGUGCAUUUUCUCGUGGAUUACUGUUGGAUCUGAUGGUUAUGAUAUUGUCUACUCCUGUGAAAAUAAAUUUUUAUUUCCAUCCAGAAUACACGAUAUUUCUGUAUUCAGUGCAGAGUAAGGGAAGUAAAAUGUCAAGUCAUUUAAUCCAUAAAAGCUAGGUGUAAAAACCUAUACAGUUCAGUGAAAAUAUUGUAUGUACAUGAAGUGUUUUGUGCCUGUUAAGUGUUGUUUCCUCUUCCUGCUGACUUUUGGAUUAUUUGUUGGCUACUUUAGAACUAAUUCUUCUUCAGCUAAGGCUUUCUGUGUGACUCUGAUAAAAUCAUACUGUUUGAUAAUGAAGUUGGAAAGGGAAACUAGCCUAAUGUGGGACUUAUCUAAUGCUGAAAGCGUUUGUUUGUAAACAGAUGCCACUGCUAAGUGCUUAAAUUAGAUAAUAAAUGGUACCUAUCUCAUGAAUGCCUUGUGCUCCAUUUAGUGUGGUGUGCAGUCUGGGUGUUUUUUUUCCUGUUUUUAGGAUGUAUCAGGGAUGCAGUUUGCUUGUGAAUCUUGCACAAUUGUCACUGGUUCAAUACAGGCUUAGAAGGAUCAGCUCUU